rnacentral:rRNA from 1 species
GAUGAACGCUGGCGGCGUGCCUAACACAUGCAAGUCGAGCGAUUCUCUUCGGAGAAGAGCGGCGGACGGGUGAGUAACGCGUGGGUAACCUGCCCUGUACACACGGAUAACAUACCGAAAGGUAUGCUAAUACGAGAUAAUAUGCUUUUAUCGCAUGGUAGAAGUAUCAAAGCUCCGGCGGUACAGGAUGGACCCGCGUUUGAUUAGCUAGUUGGUAAGGUAACGGCUUACCAAGGCGACGAUCAGUAGCCGACGUGAGAGGGUGAUCGGCCACAGUGGAACUGGGACACGGUCCAAACUCCUACGGGAGGCAGCAGUGGGGAAUAUUGCACAAUGGGCGAAAGCCUGAUGCGGCAACGCCGCGUGAGCGAUGAAGGCCUUCGGGUCGUAAAGCUCUGUCCUCAAGGAAGAUAAUGCCGGUACUUGAGGAGGAAGCCCCGGCUAACUACGUGCCAGCAGCCGCCGUAA